rnacentral:rRNA from 1 species
GAUUCGGGGUGCAGCAGGCGCGAAAACUUUGCAAUACACGAAAGUGUGACAGGGUCAUCCCGAGUGCCGACCGCUGAGGUUGGCUUUUACCCAGUCUAGAAAGCUGGGGGAAUAAGGAGAGGGCAAGUCUGGUGUCAGCCGCCGCGGUAAUACCAGCUCUCCGAGUGGUGUGGACGUUUAUUGGGCCUAAAGCAUCCGUAGCUGGCUGAGCAAGUCCCCUGUUAAACCCACCGAUUUAAUCGUUGGCGUGCGGGGGAUACUGUUCGGCUAGGGGACGAGAGAGGCAGGCGGUAUUCCCGGGGUAGGGGUGAAAUCCUAUAAUCCCGAGAAGACCACCAGUGGCGAAGGCUGCCUGCUAGAACGCGCCCGACGGUGAGGGAUGAAAGCUGGGGGAGCGAACCGGAUUAGAUACCCGGGUAGUCCCAGCUGUAAACGAUGCAGACUAGGUGUUUGGACGGCCACGUGCCGUUCUAGUGCCGCAGGGAAGCUGUUAAGUCUGCCGCCUGGGGAGUACGAUCGCAAGAUUGAAACUUAAAGGAAUUGGCGGGGGAGCACAAUCACUAGUGAAU